GACCCGGGUAUUGUAGAUAACAGUAUCUGCCUACAUUUACAUCAGCACAUAAGGAUGGGUUUUUCAUAUUCUUGUUCAUGAUAGUAGCAGCAAGUUUCAGUACAUUGCUUUACAACCACAUCCACAGAAUGUUACUGUUUUUGUAGAUAACUCAGAUAACUACAUAUUCUAAAUCAUUUCAUUCUAGGACUAUGCUGUAAAAGAGAAAAUUACAAGGAGGCCUGGAUCUGGGAAACUUAAAUAACUAGUGAAUCAGACGGGCCAUGCCAAUCCAUCUUAAGGCAGUCUGAGCUACUAAAAUAAUGAAAUUAAAAAGAGAGAAGAUCUGUCUGCGUCAGUGCUUUAGUGCAGAUGAAGGUGGCCGAACAGAUUUCCCCAUGAAGGAGGUCCAGAAAGUGUACUUCACCAGCAAAUUCAACAAUGUGGACAAGCUAGGAAAACAAGAGGUGUAAUUCAUGUCACAAUUCACACCCCACAUACACUCAGACAUAGGACACAUCCAAGCACCCAAUACUGCCAUAAUUAAAUGCAUAAGGAAUGAUUAUAAAUUAGAUUUUUCAUUAUGUAUG